UCGAGAAUCAUUCGCAAUGGGCGAAAGCCUGACGAUGCGACGCCGUGUGAGCGAAGAAGGCCUUCGGGUCGUAAAGCUCUUUCGCCUGGGAACAAGAGAAGCCAGCUAACAUCUGGCUAAUUUGAGGGUACUAGGUAAAGAAGCACCGGCUAACUCCGUGCCAGCAGCUGCGGUAAUACGGAGGGUGCAAGCAUUAAUCGGAUUUAUUGGGCGUAAAGGGCGCGUAGGCGGGAAUGUAAGUCAGACGUGAAAUCCCAGGGCUCAACCCUGGAACAGCAUUUGAAACUACAUUUCUAGAGGGUAGGCGGAGAAAACGGAAUUCCACAAGUAGCGGUGAAAUGCGUAGAUAUGUGGAAGAACACCGGUGGCGAAGGCGGUUUUCUAGCUUAAACCUGACGCUGAGGCGCGAAAGCAAGGGGAUCAAACAGGAUUAGAUACCCGCGUAGUCC
rnacentral:rRNA from 1 species